rnacentral:rRNA from 1 species
CCCUACGGGGCGCAGCAGGCGCGAAAACUUCACACUGUGCGAAAGCACGAUGAGGGAAUCCCAAGUGCUUGCACGUAAGUGUAAGCUGUUUCUUUGUUUAAAACGCAUAGAGAGUAAGAGCUGGGUAAGACGGGUGCCAGCCGCCGCGGUAAUACCCGCAGCUCGAGUGGUGGCCGCUAUUAUUGGGCCUAAAACGUCCGUAGCCGGUUUAAUAAAUGCCUGGGUAAAUCGUGUAGCUUAACUAUACGAAUUCCGGGUAGACUGUUAAACUUGAGACCGGGAGAAGUUAGAGGUACUCCUGGGGUAGAGGUGAAAUUCUGUAAUCCUAGGGGGACCACCAGUGGCGAAGGCGUCUGACUAGAACGGGUCUGACGGUGAGGGACGAAGCACUGGGGCGCAAACCGGAUUAGAUACCCGGGUAGUCCAGGGUGUAAACGCUGCUUGCUUGAUGUUGGUUGGGCUCCGAGCCCAAUCAGUGUCGGAGAGAAGUUGUUAAGCAA